rnacentral:lncRNA from 1 species
AUGGUGGAAAGUAUGGAUCAAUGGAGAGAAUAUCAAACUUUUUAUCACCUGCUCUGCUUGGUACUAUUCAGAAUUGAUGCCCCAGCUGAUUUCAGCUUCUGCUGUGAUCAAGAUUGUCCUAUUGCCUCUGUAUUAGAAAGAGACAAAGAAUGGACCAGUCGAGCUGAUUGGAAAAUUCUCUUGUGGUCACGUUCUCUGGUUGUCUCCACGUCUUUGGUGUGUAGAGACCAAUAA